rnacentral:rRNA from 1 species
CCUACGGGGGGCAGCAGUAGGGAAUCUUUCACAAUGGGCGAAAGCCUGAUGGAGCAACGCCGCGUGCAGGAUGAAGGCCUUCGGGUUGUAAACUGCUUUUAUAAGCGAGAAAUAUGAUGGUAACUUAUGAAUAAGGAUCGGCUAACUACGUGCCAGCAGCCGCGGUCAUACGUAGGCGCCGAGCAUUAUACGGAGUGACUGGGUGUAAAGAGUUGCGUAGGUGGCAUAAUAAGUAGCUAGGGAAAUCUGGUGGCUCAACCAUUCAGACUAUUAGCGAAACUGUUAAGCUCGAGACCGUUAGGGGUAGCUGGAAUUUCUAGUGUAGGAGUGAAAUCCGUAGAUAUUAGAAGGAACACCGAUAGCGUAGGCAGGUUGCUGGGACGGUUCUGACACUAAGGCACGAAAGCGUAGGGAGCAAACGGGAUUAGAUACCCCUGUAGUC